GUUUCUUUCUUUACCACGCACAGAAAGUGCUAGAGCUUUUUUCUUCUCCAAAGAUGAUGAACGCCUUAGAGAAGGCCCAAAAUUAUUCUGUAGAUCUGAAGAGCUCAGUGAAGAAAAAGAAUGUUGGGAAGACAGACAUAGAUUAUUGCUUGAGGAAUGCAGGAAGAAGCACAAAGACGCCAAAAGAAAAGUGAGAGC